rnacentral:tmRNA from 1 species
GGGGAUGUAAAGGUUUCGACGGGGGUUUUGACCCUUGGUAAGCGAGUAGCGGUGCGGAACCGCUUUAAAAGCCGCAACUUAAAAAUAACUGACAACAAUAAAGUUGCAUUAGCAGCUUAAUGCUGCUUGUCCUGUUUAAGAGCACCACGGCUUAAAUAAGGGCAUGGAUUAGUGGUAAAUGUGCACUAAUGAGUGUCUCGGCUUUAGUCACACAUCAGAGGCUAUGAGUUAACAGAGCCUGUUAUUGGGCGCUGUUGGCUAAGAAAUUAAAACAAUAACUACACUCGUAGAAAGCCCUGACGAUUGACCUUCGGACAGGAGUUCAAUUCUCCUCAUCUCCACCA